CAGAGUUGAAAAACUCCCAACCCUUUGUUUACAUACCUGUCCCGUUGCUUCGGCAGGCGGCCCCAGGGCGGGGCCUCCGGCCUGCUUAGGCAGGUGCCUGCCGCUGGCGCAAACUCUUUUGUUAUCUGUACUGCUCUGAGUCAUACAAAAAAUGAAUCA
rnacentral:misc_RNA from 1 species